rnacentral:tRNA from 1 species
GCCCGUGUAGCUCAGUGGAUUAGAGCAUUUGCUUGCGGAGCAAAGGGUCGCGUGUUCGAGUCGCGCCACGGGCG